rnacentral:rRNA from 1 species
CCUGGUGGUCAUAGAGUAUUGGUCCCACCCGAUCCCAUCCCGAACUCGGAAGUGAAACGAUACAUCGCCGAUGAUAGUGUGGAGUUAUCCAUGUGAAAGUAGGUCACUGCCAGGC